rnacentral:misc_RNA from 1 species
AGAAAAAUUACAAGAGCUGAAAAUUAAGUCUUCUUGUUGGGCUCGAAAACAUACUUAAUGAUGGAAUCUUUAAUUGACAACAUAUCAGGAAACUCUUUCUUCAACUUUGUAGCAUCCAGCUCAUUGUUACUCCUUGGUGCUACAAUCACCUUGGCUUGCUCUUCCAAAUUGAAGUUCAUCCAUUUGAAUUCAGGAUCUAUGUAUUUUUUGUACAGUUCCAAUAUCUCAUUAUGGCUUACCACCCCUGGAUUGGUGAAGUUCCAUAUUCCUCUGCAAUUUCUUUUUGCCAUCUCGAUUGAGAUUGGCAACAGCUCAUCCAACACUGUCAUACUAUUGGGUAUGUUCACAACCUUAUUGUAACGA